ensembl:lincRNA
AAGUCCUGCCCAUUAGCCCAAGGCAAAGCAUGUAGGCAUGCCACCCUGGGAGGCAGUUCACAUCAGGACUGCAAUUUAUCCUGUUCUCUCACAAAUAUAUUCCUAGGAGUGAGGUCAUGGAUAUAAAGAUACAUAUGUAGCACAUAAGAGGCUAACCCAGAUGAAAGCUGAAUAAUGAUCAGUAAAAAUAGAGCUGGAAGAUUUGAGAGAGUAGAAAAGAGGUAUCAUGUUCAUAUUAGGUCAAAUCAUUCAAAGGAAUCCAGUAUGGUGAACCUACAGAGAGGUGUCAUUUAUAUGCCAGACUUAAAGGAUGGUCAAGUUGGACUGAUGGCAUUGUUCCAACCGUGCUACUCCUACGUCAUUUUGUUCUCAUCAAGAAAUUCUGCCAGGCAAGCGUUGCAGGUCCACACGUCUCAGCCACAUCUACCCUCUGAAUGCUGGCUUAACCUGUCUGCUGUGCAGCAUCUGCUCUGACAUCAUCUCACAGUGAUCUGAAAGACUUCUGAUUUUCAACUCUCAACAACUUUCCAUAUAUCCUACUGAGAUCAUAAAGGAAGACCUGGAUGCAUGAUCGACUGUGCAAGACCCAAGGAAGCUUGAGCCUGCCAUUACAGAACCUUCCUUGGCUGACCCAUUCCAUGCUGCCAUUUUCUUUUGUUUGUAGUUGUCCUAUGUUGGGUGUGGUUAUCCUGCAAGGUUGUUUCUUGGAAUGCUAAACAGGAAGGAGAGCAAAUUCUUGAAACUUCCUAAAUUUCAGUUUUUGCCAUUAUUUAUAUGGUUUUCGACCUUGAAAGGGUAGACAGACCACUGCGUCAGACUGCAUGCCCUUUUCCUCCACUUUUCUGGUAGAAAUAUCUAUUUCCUUGUCCCCUCUCUGGAACUUUCCCUUUGUCCUAUGCUCUUCCUUCUUAAAGAGGCAUUUCCCCACUUCCCAGUUAGGAGAAGGUGUAAGUGUUUCAGGCAUACAAGCAGAAGUUGGAUUCCCUAAUCCACUUGAUUGUGUGAGUUUGUGGAUUGUUUUUUUUGUAAUGAUGAAACUUGCCAUUUCUUGAGGAUCUGUAGUGUUCACAUACAGUGCUGUGACAUUUAUUAAUAAUAUAUUUAAUUCUAUCAAUAACUCUGAGGUAGGCAGUCAUCAUCUUUGUUUUACAGAUGAGGAAACUGAAGCUCAAAAAAGCAAAAGAAGUGUCCAGAAUCUGAACCUAAGUCUGUUUGAAUUCAAAGCCAGAGUUCCUUCUGCUUCCCUAUUGCCACUAUUUUUGCCUUUUAUUUACAAAAAUAUUAAAACUUCAACAGAAAGGAGAAUCUGCUGUUUAAAUAUGUUAAGUGUUGACUUAAUGUAUGACAACUAUAUGUUAUCUGUAAAUAUUUUAUAUAACCUUCAGUUGUAAUCCUCUUUUUAGUAUUUUUAAUCUAGUAAAAAUAAGACAAAGUACUUUGACCUCUCCCAUGAAAGUCACUAGAUAAAUCCAGAGUUAUCAUUACUGAACAUUGUUUUUAUGUUCACUAAAUGUGAAUUACCAAAGUAUUUAGCAUAUUUCAUGUUUAAAUUUUUAUGAAAACUGGUGUAUAUGGAUUUAAGUCUAAGCCCUGACAUUAACUAUCUGAUGACAAGAGAUAAGUCUGUUCUCUGUAAUCAUAAUCAGCCUUGCUAAGUACUUCUUACAAAUCUACCCCAGAACACUCUGAGAAUUUCUGCCUAAUGUUAUUCUUAAAUGAUUGCCUGAGGCAGAUAUAAAAGUCUUUUUUGUGUGUGUGUGCAUAAGUAGAAUUUGCCAUUUUGUGUGCCAAUACAAAUCUCACAUCUAUCUUUCCAUCUUUUUAAUUUUCUCCCUUACCUUUGAAACUAUUUUAUUCUUUCCCUACAAGCAUGUGUUUAUCUCUUUAUUUUUAAAUAUUACAGCUUUCUAACAUCUGUCUCUAGGGCAGUAUAAUCUUACUGAUGAAAUAUUCCAUGUUUUCCUUGAGCUCUUGUCAAUAUGUCUUCGUGUUAACAGCUCAGCAGAUGGAGAAACAGAAGGAGUAGCCUCAGCUUACCUGAGUGAUUUCUCUCCAGCACCAAGCACAUUGACUGUCUCUAGUAACUAUUGAUAAGAGUUGGAACAACUCAAAAAUAAGAAAUGAUAUCUGACUUUGCAGUGAAAUUUACUAAAACUAUUGGCUGCUGUUCUUUGUUACUAGGAGACAACAGAAAUUACAGCAACCUACCUAGUUUGGGCUAUGCCUAUUUAGAUAAUGAGAGUAAAAUAAACAAUAAUACUAAUAUUGCUUUGGGCAUAAAUUAGCAUGUUCCCAGGUGGUUCCAGGGUAAUAAUGGUGAUUUAGCAGCAGCAGUGGCUUUUUGCAACACGGAAAUGUGGGAGCCUCUGGCACUGCUUUUUGUAAUAGCAUUGUUCUUUUUACACAGGACAAAUUAUGUUUCCCCCCCCCCCACUGCCUGCUUUUUACUGAAGCAUAAUCCUAGAGAGACUAAAGCAAGGCUUUGAAGCAAGGAUGUAGUAAAUAGUGUGAAUACCCUUGUGCCAGCCAUAGGGAAUGACCCACACCCUUUCUUUCAUAUGCAUCUUUAAAGAAACUAUUGAGUGGGCUCAGGUUUGUCAGUAAAUUGUUCAAAGAUGUUAGUGUCAUCAGGAUGCAGAGUUUUCUUUGGUUCAAAGAAACUUGUGAAUGCAGCCUGUGAGUUACCUAGUUACAAAUCUGUGGAUUUCACUUUGGAGAUAAGAACAAGAGGGAAGAAGAGAUGACUCUCUUAAAUAAAAAUAAUGGAGUAUGUGGAUGAGUGAGAGAAAUGGGAAUAGUGCUGGAAAUUAGAACAAAGCAGUGAAGCUUUGGAAAGGAUCAAGAAAUAGCUUAAACAGAGUUUUCUCAAAUUUUUACAUAUAAGUAAGUCAUCUCGGGUUUAUGUUAAAAUGCAAAUUUUGUUUCAGUAGGUCUGAGGUGGGGCCUGAGUAUCUGCAUUUCUAACUAGUUCUGCACAAUGCUGAUAUUACUUAUAAAAUGCUGAUAUUACUUAUAAAAAUAUUUGCAUAUUUUUAUAAGUAAGGGCCUUAAAACUCAUUUCUAACCCUGGUACUGCAGUUCAGAUAACCUGUGACUCACCUUUAGAUUGAUUUGGAUUAGACCCUAAAGAAUUCAAAAUCUCAUUAUUAACUAUAUACUCACAUAAAUCCUGUUUGUCUUUGAGAUUGUGUCAUGAGGUUGUUGGCCUAAUAAUUUAAGUAAAAAUUUCAAACAUAUCAAAAUGUAUACAAUAAAAAUUAUUUAUAUACAGUGUAUGAAAUCUAUCAAUAACAUUACAUCUUAUAUUAGGAUGCUUUGAUAAAUUUUUCAUCUUUGGCAUCUAAACAAAUAGAUGAGAUUUUUAAAAUUUUCAUUUCUAACUCUAUUGUGUUCAUUGGUCAAUAAACCACCCCAGACACUAAAAUUGUUUUUCAUUCUAACAAGAUUUGACAGGGGAUUUGAAAGGUACUGCUAAGUCUCUCUCUUUCUCAGUUCAUCCCUCUCCCCGCCCCACCCUCGCUGUCUGAGCCUAGACCUGCUCUUUAUUGGAAAUAGUACAGGAUAUACUUCCAAGAGCUAUUUCCCAUUCAAGGAGAAUAAUUUCUAUCCCAGUGUUUCUCAAAUAUAGUCUAUAUACCUGUUGCAUCAGAAUCACCCAAAUGCUUUGUUAAAAAUUAAGUUUCUUUGAUUCUGGUUCAGAUUUACAAAAUCAGAGCUCUGUGUUUAAUAAGUUCAGGUGAUUCUUUUGCAGUGUCAUCUGUAAACCACUG